rnacentral:lncRNA from 1 species
CGCACGGCACGGUGGGCAAGGGAGCACAGCAUCGGCACUGCAGCGGCCCGGCCCGGCCCGGCCCAGCCCGGGGAGGGGACCACAGCACAGCCAGCACCGCCUGCCCUGGGCAAAGGACUGAGGCCCAGGCCUCAGUCCUGGGUUGCUUGGCAGGGGAAUCCUGGGAACCGGAGCAGGCUCCUGCCUUUGGUUCUGGGACUUGGGUUUGGGGAGAAAAGCGCCAGCUGUCUCCAUGAUGGGGGCCCAGGCCUGUCCUGGACCUCUGUGCUAGGAGAGGGUUGCAGCAGAGGGAGAGCAAGGCCUUGGGGAGAGUGAAUGGGCGCCUAAAGAGUCUGCCUCAGCCAGGUGGUGCAGAGGAACUCCAGGGGGGAGCCAGGCACCAGUGAGAGCCCCUGGAGAGCCGACAGACCUCCGAGGGACCUGCAGGGAUCAUGCAGACCCAAGGGCGCCAAAGGAGCCUGGUGGAGAUGCCGCUUGAAUGCGCAGGCCUUGGCCAUGCUCCGGUGCAGUGCAGGGACUGGGUGUAAGGCAGAGUGGUCCCAGGCCAGGCCUGAAAGCAGAGGGAGUGAGCAGGGCAGAGUACUGGGGACCUGUCCCCCAUAGGGGGUAAGCAGGAGGCAGAGUCCCUGGUGAGUGGGACUCCAGAUCCUUUUGUUCAAAGGAACCCCAUUCUUUUAGGGAGGCUGGGACCUUGGGGCGUCUCUGCCCACGGAGCUCCUUCCUCCCUUUAGUACUGAGAGUAGAGAGAGAAGCUACAGGGAGAAAGACUGACAGUGACACACAGAUUAGCGGGAAGAAAGUGAGAAGAUGAGGGAACACACUGAGAGGGACAGGAAAGAAGAGAAAGGAAGAAGGGAAAAGGAAAGAAGAGGGGAGAGAGUGAGAGAGGAAAGGAGAGAGAGGGAAAGCCCAGAGUGAUGAAGGGAGGAAGAAGGGAGAGAGGAACUGAGAGGGGGACACUGGAGAGGAAGAGAGGGAGCAGAGUGUGCACCGGAGGCCCUGCCCUGGUGAGCGCCUAGGAGGGGUUUGGCGUGGGGUUCCGGGCCAGCACUCACUACCCCGGUCCGAUCCGGAGAGAGCCAAGUUACUCAGAGGUGAAGGUGCUGGGCAGAGAAAUAUGUAAAUCAGGGCUCCUAGCGCCUCGGCGAGUGGCGCAAUUGCACCCCUUGAACAAGAAGCAACAAGCUCCCGGCGGCCGGUCUAAGUCCGCGUACUUAAAGCGGCGCGGGCGGGCGAAAGCGGGCGGGCGGCCCAGUCGGGCAGUGGCAGAUGCGCCCAGCGGUGGCAGCCACAGGCGGAGCACAGGUGACCGGCCUGCGGCGCAGCCUAGCCAGGAGGCGCCCCGGGAGAGCUGGCGGGAGAGGGAGGCAGAUCCACCCCCAGCGUGCGCUCGCUCGUGCUAGUCUCGGCGCCGGGAGCCGUCCCGGGGCGUGUUGGCGAGAGCUGAUAUAGAUAUAAGGACAUUUCUCUCCAUGGCGUCACGUGACAUAAUUACCA